rnacentral:rRNA from 1 species
AUUGAACGCUGGCGGCAUGCCUUACACAUGCAAGUCGAACGGCAGCACGGGUGCUUGCACCUGGUGGCGAGUGGCGAACGGGUGAGUAAUACAUCGGAACAUGUCCUGUAGUGGGGGAUAGCCCGGCGAAAGCCGGAUUAAUACCGCAUACGAUCUACGGAUGGAAGCGGGGGACCUUCGGGCCUCGCGCUAUAGGGUUGGCCGAUGGCUGAUUAGCUAGUUGGUGGGGUAAAGGCCUACCAAGGCGACGAUCAGUAGCUGGUCUGAGAGGACGACCAGCCACACUGGGACUGAGACACGGCCCAGACUCCUACGGGAGGCAGCAGUGGGGAAUUUUGGACAAUGGGCGAAAGCCUGAUCCAGCAAUGCCGCGUGUGUGAAGAAGGCCUUCGGGUUGUAAAGCACUUUUGUCCGGAAAGAAAUCCUUGGCUCUAAUACAGUCGGGGGAUGACGGUACCGGAAGAAUAAGCACCGGCUAACUACGUG